rnacentral:rRNA from 1 species
UUUAAGGUUGACCUCGGAUCAGGUAGGGAUACCCGCUGAACUUAAGCAUAUCAAUAAGCGGAGGAAAAGAAACCAACCGGGAUUGCCUCAGUAACGGCGAGUGAAGCGGCAAGAGCUCAAAUUUGAAAUCUGGCCCCCUCGGGGUCCGAGUUGUAAUUUGCAGAGGAUGCUUCGGAUGCGGCCCCUGUCUAAGUGCCCUGGAACGGGCCGUCGGAGAGGGUGAG